rnacentral:tRNA from 2 species
GCGACCAUGGUUUAGCGGUAGAACGCUAGCUUCCCAAGCUUGAAGUGAGGGUCCGACUCCCUCUGGUCGCU